GUAGGGGACGAGCGUUGUCCGGAUUUAUUGGGCGUAAAGCGCGCGUAGGCGGCCCGGAAAGUCGGUUGUGAAAACCCGGGGCUCAACCCCGGGCCUGCAUCCGAAACUUCCGGGCUGGAGGUAGGUAGGGGAGAUCGGAAUUCCUGGUGUAGCGGUGAAAUGCGCAGAUAUCAGGAGGAACACCGGUGGCGAAGGCGGAUCUCUGGGCCUUACCUGACGCUGAGGCGCGAAAGCUAGGGGAGCGAACAGGAUUAGAUACCCUGGUAGUCCUAGCCGUAAACGUUGGGUGCUAGGUGUGGGUGGACAUCGACCCCAUCCGUGCCGAAGCUAACGCAUUAAGCACCCCGCCUGGGGAGUACGGCCGCAAGGCUA
rnacentral:rRNA from 1 species